rnacentral:rRNA from 1 species
ACGCUGGCGGCAGGCCUAACACAUGCAAGUCGAGCGGUAGAGAGAAGCUUGCUUCUCUUGAGAGCGGCGGACGGGUGAGUAAUGCCUAGGAAUCUGCCUGGUAGUGGGGGAUAACGUCCGGAAACGGACGCUAAUACCGCAUACGUCCUACGGGGGAAAGCAGGGGACCUUCGGGCCUUGCGCUAUCAGAUGAGCCUAGGUCGGAUUAGCUAGUUGGUGGGGUAAUGGCUCACCAAGGCGACGAUCCGUAACUGGUCUGAGAGGAUGAUCAGUCACACUGGAACUGAGACACGGUCCAGACUCCUACGGGAGGCAGCAGUGGGGAAUAUUGGACAAUGGGCGAAAGCCUGAUCCAGCCAUGCCGCGUGUGUGAAGAAGGUCUUCGGAUUGUAAAGCACUUUAAGUUGGGAGGAAGGGCAGUUACCUAAUACGUGAUUGUUUUGACGUUACCGACAGAAUAAGCACCGGCUAACUCUGUCCCAGCAGCCGCGGUAAUACAGAGGGUGCAAGCGUUAAUCGGAAUUACUGGGCGUAAAGCGCGCGUAGGUGGUUCGUUAAGUUGGAUGUGAAAUCCCCGGGCUCAACCUGGGAACUGCAUUCAAAACUGACGAGCUAGAGUAUGGUAGAGGGUGGUGGAAUUUCCUGUGUAGCGGUGAAAUGCGUAGAUAUAGGAAGGAACACCAGUGGCGAAGGCGACCACCUGGACUGAUACUGACACUGAGGUGCGAAAGCGUGGGGAGCAAAC